CAGCUUCCUCCCGAGCCGGAGGCGUGUGAGCGGCACCAGGGCUGCAGGGGGAGCCGCGGGCACCAGCGAGAGAGCGAGCGAGCGGGGUAGAAAACCGGCCCCCCAGGAGCGUGGCCACCGGGAAGAGGCUCCCCCGCCAGUCCAGGCUCCGGGGCAGUGGUGCCCGACACAUACAGCAAGCAGAGAGCAAGGAAGCAUGCAUCACCAUGGAUAGCAGACAUCUCUUUCCAGGCCAGCAGAGCAGAAUGGAAUCCAAAUAGCCAUUGAUUUAGGCCACUCCGCAGGUCCCCUCCACCCCGUGGCCUCCACCUGUCUGAGGACCGCCUGGAAUAACAGAUACUGAUCUCCUUCAGUCCGAGCCCUGGCCACUGCAGAUUAAGAAACAGGUUGGAACAUCUGGCAAAACAUUCAAACUCAAACUGAAAAGGUCAAUACCACUUCCACUAAUGAACGCUCGGCUGCAGAAGAGCAGAGUAGCCAAAGAUUCAGCCCUUACCGUAAAUCCGAUGCCCACGGUGGCAGAAAAAGAGCCGGGAAUGAACUUGCCCUGGUCAAACUGAACCAGCAGUGAUGUCUUCCCCACUCCGCUGUCUCCGACCAGGAUAGUCUGUAAGAAUCAAAGAGGGCCAUUAGCAUCCCCUGGGGCACAGAGUUUUGUGAAAAUCCAACCGCAUCUGGCUAUGUGGUCACCGCGUCUGAUCAGCAGCUUUCAUGUGCAAAUAACGGCUCCUGCUACACAGAGCCCCCUCAGAGGAGCUGGUCAGCCCGACUUCCUCUUUCUCUGCCUCUGUGGUGGGGCCUAUUCCGCAUGGCUCUCCUGGUGAAUUCUCAGUGAUCUCAGAAAUAACUGAGUUCCAACAUGGAAACCAUCCAGUCCCGCGUAUUAACCGCACAGAGCAGCGCUACCCAGAAGCCAGCCCUAGAGAUGGAGAAUUAUGAUGGCUCCCUGAGCUUCUCUCCUUUCAGAUUCAGUGAGAUGCCACCGUCCCACAAUAAACUCCUACCUCAUGGCCUGAGAAAUGUUAUGAACAGAGCUUCUCAUUUAAACUGAUCCACUCUCCCUGGACCCUUCCUUUUCUCUGACUCUUGCCAAUGUACUUCCUGAA